rnacentral:rRNA from 1 species
AGAGUUUGAUCAUGGCUCAGAUUGAACGCUGGCGGCAUGCCUUACACAUGCAAGUCGAACGCGAAAGCGGGGCAACCCGCAAGUAGAGUGGCGAACGGGUGAGUAAUACAUCGGAACGUAUCCAGUAGCGGGGGAUAACCUGUCGAAAGAUAGGCUAAUACCGCAUACGAUCUACGGAUGAAAGCGGGGGACCGCAAGGCCUCGCACUAUUGGAGCGGCCGAUGUCGGAUUAGCUAGUUGGUGAGGUAAAAGCUUACCAAGGCGACGAUCCGUAGCUGGUCUGAGAGGACGAUCAGCCACACUGGAACUGAGACACGGUCCAGACUCCUACGGGAGGCAGCAGUGGGGAAUUUUGGACAAUGGGCGCAAGCCUGAUCCAGCCAUGCCGCGUGAGUGAAGAAGGCCUUCGGGUUGUAAAGCUCUUUCGGUGAAGACGAAACGGUUAGCGUUAAUAACGCUGACUAAUGACGGUACUCACAGAAGAAGCACCGGCUAACUACGUGCCAGCAGCCGCGGUAAUACGUAGGGUGCAGGCGUUAAUCGGAAUUACUGGGCGUAAAGCGUGCGCAGGCGGUCUGUUAAGACAGGUGUGAAAUCCCCGAGCUCAACUUGGGAAUUGCGCUUGUAACUGGCAGGCUAGAGUGUGGCAGAGGGGGGUGGAAUUCCACGUGUAGCAGUGAAAUGCGUAGAUAUGUGGAGGAACACCGAUGGCGAAGGCAGCCCCCUGGGUCAACACUGACGCUCAGGCACGAAAGCGUGGGGAGCAAACAGGAUUAGAUACCCUGGUAGUCCACGCCCUAAACUAUGUCAACUAGUUGUCGGGGAAGAAAUUCCUUGGUAACGCAGCUAACGCGUGAAGUUGACCGCCUGGGGAGUACGGCCGCAAGGUUAAAACUCAAAGGAAUUGACGGGGACCCGCACAAGCGGUGGAUUAUGUGGAUUAAUUCGAUGCAACGCGAAAAACCUUACCUACCCUUGACAUGUACGGAAUUCCGCAGAGAUGUGGAAGUGCCCGAAAGGGAACCGUAACACAGGUGCUGCAUGGCUGUCGUCAGCUCGUGUCGUGAGAUGUUGGGUUAAGUCCCGCAACGAGCGCAACCCUUGUCGUUAAUUGCCAUCAUUUAGUUGGGCACUUUAACGAGACCGCCGGUGACAAACCGGAGGAAGGUGGGGAUGACGUCAAGUCCUCAUGGCCCUUAUGGGUAGGGCUUCACACGUAAUACAAUGGUCGGUACAGAGGGCUGCCAACCCGCAAGGGGGAGCUAAUCCCAGAAAGCCGAUCGUAGUCCGGAUUGUAGUCUGCAACUCGACUGCAUGAAGCCGGAAUCGCUAGUAAUCGCGGAUCAGCAUGUCGCGGUGAAUACGUUCCCGGGUCUUGUACACACCGCCCGUCACACCAUGGGAGUGGGUUCCACCAGAAGUAGUUAGCCUAACCGCAAGGAGGGCGAUUACCACGGUGAGAUUCAUGACUGGGGUGAAGUCGUAACAAGGUA